UAAAGGGUGCUAUGAUAGAUAAAUAGACAAAUGUCCAGAAUAUAAUUUUCCUACAUUUUCUUCCGUAAAAGCCAGCUUAUAUUAGUCUUUCUUCCUUUCUUCUUCAAGUCUUGUCCUCUUUCAACUUUCCAAUCUGCAUACAGUUGAAGAAACAAUCAUGGAUAGAGAGCAAGAAGAGAUGCAAUUUUUAGGCCUUUUUGGGAUCUAUGCAGAAGCCUACAAAGUGGUUUUUAGAUGGAGAAAAAUCUUCAGCAAAAUCGCCCUAUCUUUGAUCCUUCCACUAUCCCUCAUUUUCUUGGCUCAUAUAGAACUAUCCCAUCUACUCAAGAUAAAAGUCAUCCACACUGAAAACCAAUUGCAUCGUGCCCAAUCAGAGCCUCAAAAAAGCAAGAAACUCACUGAUUUGAAUUGGUACAACAUCACUUACCUCACAUUUCUCCUCAUUUUUUCUCUGCUUUCCACUGCUGCUGUUGUUUACACCAUUGCCUGCAUAUAUACCGGCCGAGAAAUAACCUUCAAGAAGGUCAUGAGUGUUGUCCCAAAGGUCUGGCAAAGGCUUGUGGGCACUUUUCUGUGCGCUUCUCUUGCUUUCUUUGCUUAUAACCUCAUAGCUUUACUAGUUUUAAUGAUAUUGACCAUGACCCUUGGAGAAACGUUGAUUGGUGCUGUUUUGUUAAUCCUCUUGUUGAUUGUGUAUAUUCUGGUCUUUGUCUACAUGACCAUAAUUUGGCAGUUGGCCUGUGUUGUGUCUGUUUUAGAAGACUCAUAUGGGAUCAAAGCUAUGAUGAAAAGCCAGGAAUUAAUCAAAGGGAAGAUGCCGAUUAGCAUAGUUAUAUUUUUUAAGCUGAAUUUGUCCCUUGCUGCAAUUCAGCUGUUGUUUUAUGCUCAUGUUGUUCAUGGUGGAUGGAGAUUUGGAGUAUUACACCGUUUGGGAUUAGGGAUGCUGUGUUUGUUGCUGCUUUUCAAGUUGAUUCUCUUUGGAUUGGUGAUUCAAACAAUUGUCUACUUUGUUUGCAAGUCUUAUCACCAUGAAAACAUUGAUAAGUCAGCCCUAUCGGAUCAUCUUGAAGCUUAUUUGGGGGAACAUGUGCCUUUGAAGUCCAAGGAUGUACAACUGGAGCAGCAGAAUAUGAUGCUUGAUGGUUGAUUCUACAUCAAAUUCAUGGUUAGGUAUUUUCAGUGUAAGCGGUUGGCACAUUAAAGUAUCGAUUUUGGGUUUCCACUCCUCUUGAUUAUCAGAUUGGUGGAACCGAUAACCAAUACCAACCUGAAGCAUCUUCUUCCCAGAUCUCAAUUAGUAUAACAGAUGAUUCUAAUCAACAACAUUUCAAUACACUUCAUAUGAAUCAUUUAUCAGAGGGUUCAACAAAAACCACAGAGGAAGGGAAUUUUCAUAAAAAGAUUUGCAUGAGAAGAAGCAUGUGUCACUGAAUUCUCUCACCCAAGAUAGCUGGAAAGUUGCGUGAAAAGUGAGAAAAAAUGGUUGUGCCACUUGCAGAAGAGAGAGGCAGAUCCAAGCCCUGGAUUCGAGGCCUAAACAUAUGAUCCGAGGCUAUUUUAACAUGGAUCUGAGCUUGGAUCGCCUGACCUUUGAAUCCAUUGGUCCAGAUGAUCAGAUGAGAGCUCGGAUGGGGAUAGAUCUGAGCUCGGAUCCAUCUCCCAUGUUUUUAUCUUCUGUUUCAUUUCUCUUUUGCUCAAUUUUCAUUCCUUGUUUCACUUAUCCGUUGUCCUCCAACGAACACCUUGCCUCUCUUUUAUCUUAUGUAAGUAUUUCGUGCAUCGAUAACCUAUAAA